rnacentral:sRNA from 1 species
UUACUGCUUCACGGCUGAAAUGGGCAGG